CUCAGCUGAUUAAAGGGAUUAUUGGUUAAGACUUCAUUAUAAACAUGUUCACACACUAGUUAAAAACAACUGAAAUAAACCAAAUCCCACAAUAUUUUCAGUUUCUGUCUUUUAGCUAUACCUGUUCUCAAAAACAACAGCACAAACAGGAGGUAAUCAGAAAAGUCUGUUUUCCAGUUCUACAUUUGACUGAGAAGGGACAUUUAUGCAAAAGGUAAUUAAAAUGCUGACUUACAGAAGCACUCUGAGCUACGAUAGAGGCUCUUCUGCCAUGAGACUUAUCAUUUGUGAAAAGGUCAGUUUUCUACUUUCUGAAGCACUUAAAGUGCUUUUAUUCUAAUAAUGAUUGUACAUGUCAGCCAUAAUAAUCUUGGUUGUCCAUGCCUUUCUGUCCCUAAUUGGUAGAGAAAAC
rnacentral:lncRNA from 1 species